rnacentral:rRNA from 1 species
AACGUCAAGUACUUGAACGUAUUAAGCUCAAGCCUUCCUCCCUACUGAAAGUGCUUUACAACCCUAGGGCCUUCUUCACACACGCGGCAUGGCUGGAUCAGGGUUGCCCCCCAUUGUCCAAGAUUCCCCA